AUGAGUAAGCAGACCAAGUUAUCAAUUUCCCUGAAUACCAGCACCAUAAUUAUGACAAUGAAUAUUAUAUGUAAUGAUUAUUGUUCAGCGGUCCUCAGUACCAAUCAGAGAAGACGCAGCCGUGUGACGCUGCAGACGCAACUUCCGGGUAGCCGGCUUGGUUUGUUUGGUUUGGUUAGCAGGACGCUUAGCGUCGACCUGCUAUCUCGGUUUGUAUCUAUUUUUCGGUAUUUAUAUCUGGGACCUGUUCUGCAUACUCUGUAUUGUAUUCGCUGUUUCCUCGCUGGAGCUCCGUCUGCAUCAAACCACGAUACGCUUGGCUUCAAACAGCUCGUCCAGCACCCAACCCACAUCGAUGGAAACACGCUGGAUCUCGUUCUGACCCGCGGUGUAGACAUUUCACAGCUAGUGGUCUCUUCCUACACCUCAGCUUUAUCAGACCACUUUUUGCUCACUUUCCAGGUUUUGGUAUCCUGCCCCUGCAACGAUCAGCAAGCUACUUUCAGCUGUCGCCGCAUCACACCUGCAACCAUUACAGCUAUGGCAGAUAAGUUAUCUGGUUCACUUGCACCUCUUUGUAACUAUAGUGGUUCUGUGGAGUGCCUUACUGAUGACCUCAACAUUGCCUUGCCUGUUGCCAUUGAUUCAGUUGCUCCGAACGUAACUAAAAAACGAACAUUGAAAAAACCAGCCCCCUGGUUUAAUGCAGAAACGCGCAUUCUGAAGCGAAGCUACAGGAUCCUUGAACGCAAAUGGCGCUCGACUAAACUUGAGGUCUUUCAUCUUGCAUGGCAUAACAGUCUGCUCACCUAUAAGGGUGCGCUGACUAUUGCCAGGAACGCCUACUUUUCCAGUAUCAUCAACUUGAUUAGAAACAAUCCUAAGUUUCUUUUUGACACGGUGAGGAGUCUCACUCAGAAACAGACUCAGACCGUAGGCUGCUCGAUCAUGGCAGGUGAAUUCAUGGAUUACUUUGAGAAUAAGAUUCAAUUAAUUAGAGAGGAAAUUUAUGCUUGCCGUGCAGCUUGUCCUACACAUCCUGUGGGGCAGGAUGGGGUCCUGCCAAGUAGGAUGGGGAACUCUGACGCAACUCUCUUGGAGUUCAAGGCAAUUCCUUUGGUGGAACUUGAAAGGGUGAUAAAGCAAAGCCAACAACUUGUAUGUUGAAUCCUCUCCCUUCCAGGGUUCUUAAGGAACUUCUUCCCACGGUGGGGCCUGCAAUCCUCUCGCUUAUGAAUCUCUCGUUUUCAACAGGAAUUGUUCCUUCCAAUUUCAAGGCUGCGGUGUUAAAACCGCUACUCAAAAAGCCUGGCCUAGAUCCUGAAUUAGUCAGGAACUAUCGGCCUAUAUCGAAUCUGCCCUUCCUGUCCAAGGUACAGGAAAGGAUUGUAGCAAAGCAAAUCGUUGAUUAUCGGACGAGGAACAAUCUCUUUGAACCUUUCUAGUCGGGGUUCAGGAAUAUCCACUCAACUGAAACUGCUAUUACAAGAGUUGUAAAUUACAUCCUUCUUGCUUUGGAUAAAAAUACAAGCUCAAUGCUUGUGCUGCUGGACCUGAGCGCUGCGUUCGAUACCAUCGACCACAGCACUCUUCUUCACCGUCUUGAGCACUAUGUUGGUUUCGGGGGUACGGCUCUUGGUUGGCUUGAAUCGUACCUCACAGAUAGAACCCGAUUUGUGCUUCAUGAGGGUUCAGAAUCAAAGCACUGUAAAUUACGCUUUGGCGUACCACAAGGGUCGGUCCUUGGUCCAUUACUUUUUGCAAUCUACAUGCUUCCCCUGGGCGACGUUAUCCGCAGCUUCGGAAUUAGUGUCCACGGCCCAGAUUCAAAGGGUUGAGUCCUGUCUGGCUGCUGUGAAGGGCUGGAUGUCACAAAACUUCCUACAGCUUAACACUGGGAAGACAGAGCUGAUAAUUAUCGGCUCGAAGCGGGACCGGGAAGAGUUUGAGGAUGUCUCUCUGUGGUUGGAUGGCUUCGCCAUCCCACAGAGUGCGUCCGUCAAAAAUCUUGGUGUCCUGUUUGACCCUCAACUAUGCUUUGACCAACAUAUAAGAAGUAUAACUAGAAUUGCUGGACUAUUGCAAUGCACUGUUCUCGGGAUUACCGAACUCUACCACAAAAAGUCUACAGCUGGUACACAAUGCGGCAGCUAGACUGCUGACCAGAACGAGAAAGUUUGAUUAUAUCACACCUAUUCUCGCCUCUCUGCACUGGCUACCAAUAACUUUCAGAUCAGACUUUAAGGUGCUAUUGCUAACCUAUAAAGCCUUGCAUGGAUUAUCUCCAUCCUACCUGAAGGACCUGAUUAUUCCUUAUAGUCCUUCUCAGUCCCUCCGGUAUUCGGGAGCCGGCCUUCUUUCAUUGCCGAAGGUUAAAAAUAAAUCGGCUGGACAGAGAGCGUUUGCCUAUCGAGCCCCCUUCCUAUGGAAUAGGCUGCCAUCAGCGAUCAGGGAAGCUGACUCUGUGGAGCUAUUCAAAGGAAAGCACAAAAUGCACCUCUACAAUCUUGCAUUUGGAGUGUAAAAACGACAGAUGCGAAGUGAAGACCACUCUGUUUGCUUGUGCUUUUCUUAUUACAUUAUACAUUCCCACUAUGUACUUUUCCGUUCUAAUUCACUAUUCUUUCUGUUCUAGCGUGUUGCGGGUACUGGACUGGAUGCCUGGACUCUCCUCACGGAUAACCGGCCAGAACCCCAUCACCAUUUUAAUAUGAUGUGCAUGUAUUUACCUGUACGUCAAAUGUGGCACCCAUUGCACUCCUGACCAUCCCUGGAAGAAGGGAUCCCCUACAACGCGUUUCUUCUCAAGAUUUCUUCCUUGCUGAUUUCAAGGGAGUUUUUUCUUGCCCGUGUGGGGGCAUGGGUAAAGGGGGGUGUCGCAAAUAUUUGGCCUGUUAAGACCUUUGAGACUGUAAUGGUGAUUAAGGGCUAUACAAAUAAAAUUGAAUUGAAUUGAAUUGAGACGGAGAGGCUGUGAAGUGCGGGGCUACACACUGAGAUGCAGGAUCAUUCAUACUUGGAUACUUGGAAGUCUUAGGUGAGCUGAGACUGAAGCUGUGACGCUUGGAGUCAUCUGUGUUGUAUUAAAGCAAAGGUGCAUUCCACAAAUGUUCUCCAUAGAUUAUCAAGAUUUGUCGACUUUGAAUAUGUUCCAUCGGGGUGGAUUGUGUGAUUUUGCAAAAAAGACUCUUUAUGGCCGGAACUUUUCCCCUACCCCUCUUUUUCUGAGUGCCCCUCGGUUUUUAGUUGGUUAGUCGUAGAAAUCUUCCCCUAGAAAAUGGGACAAGCCAUCAUGACCCUGGCCCAUAAGCAGUAGUCAUCACUGACGUUUGUUUGUAGUCACGCAACGAGAAUGUUGCCGGGCAUUUCAAAUCUCCACAUGUAGUCUUCAGCUGUGGUGAUUUCUGAUGUGUGAAAUGUAGGCAUCCUUUUGUGGCUGUCAGCAGUAAAUUAGAAAAAUUGUCUUACUACCAUGGCAAUAGUGGUAUUCUCACAAAGAUUUUUGACAUUCAUCUGAAUGAGAUAGAAAAGCAUGAACGCUCGCGAAUUGUUAGUUUCACGCUAUAAAUCGAUCAAAGGUCCUGAAGUAAAAAAGAAGACUGCUUCAUUACCGGACCACUCGGGGACAGAAUAGCGGUGCUCUGCGGGCUAUGUACCCGUGCUCCUACCCGUCCCUUCUGCACUUAUAUUAGAGGAGCGGUAACAAGUGCAGCAACCUAGCUGCUGGACUUGGGGUGUAUCAUGCCAUCAUAAGGGGGAAAAUCGAUCAGCAUACUGGCGAUUUCUUGUUAUACUUGUCUUAAAGUGUAAUUCCAGCGUAAAUUGAACCCAUAGUCUUUUUCGGCAUGAAGCCCCAUAAAAUAAGCCAUCCAGACCCUUUUUUUGGUUGAUAAUCGAGUAUAAAGUGUGCCCGCGAAUGCCCGGAUCUAUGUAACAGCCCAAAUGGCUUCCAUGUUAUUGGCUAGGGGCACUGUGACCCAUUCCAAAUCUGCAUUUUUUAACCACUAACAUUGCUCAAAAAUAGGGUUAGGGUUAAAAAAAUAAAUACUGUUUUCCAAGUCUGUGGAAAACAGACCUUACCGGUAGGUCCAUGUUUCCAGGAAGUUCAAACAAGUCGAUUACCAAUUACCAUAAAUAAUAUAAGAGAGGGGCCUUUUUGUUUUAAAACGGUCAAGUAUCAAGAGGCAAGAUUGUUUAGUUGAAUUUCUUGGCGCCUCUAUUAUCCGAAAAAAAAGUGUCUGGAGGGCUUAUUUUAUGGGGCUUCAUGCUGAAAAGACCGUGGGUUCAAUUUACGCCGGAAUUACACUUUAAAUAAAUGGUCUUUAAUACAUUAAAAUUACAUUAAUCUAAGAUUAUACGAUGCUUAUCACUUUUUUUUGUCAGAGCAGUGUUCGCCACUAACUCACAGAUGAACCACAAGGCAUUCUUAUAACACUCUGUUUUGAGUGUGCCUCGGAAAAUCCUCAGUUCAGAGGGCCAUGUAGCCACCUGCCCCAACUCAUCUAUCCAAACAAGAAUCGGGACACCCUACCCCUACGUGUAAACGUGAAAAAUGGAUGGGUG
rnacentral:lncRNA from 1 species